GCUCCCUUAGGUCAGCGGCGGACGGGUGAGUAACACGUGGGUAACCUGCCUGUAAGACUGGGAUAACUCCGGGAAACCGGGGCUAAUACCGGAUGCUUGAUUGAACCGCAUGGUUCAAUCAUAAAAGGUGGCUUUUAGCUACCACUUACAGAUGGACCCGCGGCGCAUUAGCUAGUUGGUGAGGUAACGGCUCACCAAGGCGACGAUGCGUAGCCGACCUGAGAGGGUGAUCGGCCACACUGGGACUGAGACACGGCCCAGACUCCUACGGGAGGCAGCAGUAGGGAAUCUUCCGCAAUGGACGAAAGUCUGACGGARCAACGCCGCGUGAGUGAUGAAGGUUUUCGGAUCGUAAAACUCUGUUGUUAGGGAAGAACAAGUACCGUUCGAAUAGGGCGGCACCUUGACGGUACCUAACCAGAAAGCCACGGCUAACUACGUGCCAGCAGCCGCGGUAAUACGUAGGUGGCAAGCGUUGUCCGGAAUUAUUGGGCGUAAAGCGCGCGCAGGCGGUUUCUUAAGUCUGAUGUGAAAGCCCCCGGCUCAACCGGGGAGGGUCAUUGGAAACUGGGGAACUUGAGUGCAGAAGAGGAGAGUGGAAUUCCACGUGUAGCGGUGAAAUGCGUAGAGAUGUGGAGGAACACCAGUGGCG
rnacentral:rRNA from 1 species